rnacentral:rRNA from 1 species
AUGCACGCUGGCGGCGUGCCUCAUACCUUCCAGUCGCGCGAACAGACGAGGAGCUUGCUCCUCUGACGUUAGCGGCGGACGGGUGAGUAACACGUGGAUAACCUACCUAUAAGACUGGGAUAACUUCGGGAAACCGGAGCUAAUACCGGAUAAUAUAUUUAACCGCUUGGUUCAAUAGUGAAAGACGGUUUUGCUGUCACUUAUAGAUGGAUCCGCGCCGCAUUAGCUAGUUGGUAAGGUAACGGCUUACCAAGGCAACGAUGCGUAGCCGACCUGAGAGGGUGAUCGGCCACACUGGAACUGAGACACGGUCCAGACUCCUACGGGAGGCAGCAGUAGGGAAUCUUCCGCAAUGGGCGAAAGCUUGACGGAGCAACGCCGCGUGAGUGAUGAAGGUCUUCGGAUCGUAAAACUCUGUUAUUAGGGAAGAACAAAUGUGUAAGUAACUAUGCACGUCUUGACGGUACCUAAUCAGAAAGCCACGGCUAACUACGUG